AACGAACGCUGGCGGCAUGCCUAACACAUGCAAGUCGAACGAAGGCUUCGGCCUUAGUGGCGCACGGGUGCGUAACGCGUGGGAAUCUGCCCUUUGCUCCGGCUGAACAGUUAGAAAUGACUGCUAAUACCGGAGGAUGUCGCAAGACCAAAGAGUUAUCGGCAAAGGAUGAGCCUGGGUAGGAUUAGCUAGUUGGUGGGGUAAAGGCCUACCAAGGCGACGAUCCGUAGCUGGUCUGAGAGGAUGAUCAGCCACACUGGAACUGAGACACGGCCCAGACUCCUAGGGGAAGCAGCAGUGGGGAAUAUUGGACAAUGGGCGAAAGCCUGAGCCAGCCAUGCCGGGUGUGUGAAGAAGGUCUUCGGAUUGUAAAGCACUUUAAGUUGGGAGGAAGGGCAGUAAGUUAAUACCUUGCUGUUUUGACGUUACCAACAGAAUAAGCACCGGCUAACUUCGUG
rnacentral:rRNA from 1 species